rnacentral:lncRNA from 1 species
UUUUUUUUUUUUUUUUUUUUUGAGAUGGAGUCUCCUACUGUCACCUGCGCUGGAGUGCAAUGGUUCAAUCUCGGCUCACUGCAACCUCCACUUCCCAGGUUCAUGCGAUUCUCCUGCCUCAGCCUCCCAAGUAGCUGGGAUUACAGGUGCACACCACCACACCUGGCUAAUUUUUCUUUUUUUUUUUUUGUACUUUUAGGAGAGAUGGGGCUUCACUAUGUUGGCCACACUGGUCUCUAACUCCUGACCUUGUGAUCAGCCCACCUCUGUCACAGGACUUUUUAACUGAAACAGUUGUUCUUAAAAGCCUCUCCUUUUAGAGAGCACAGAGAUUUAAAGAACGUCUGUAGUGUGUUGCUGACAUAAACCCCACCCUCAGGGCCGUGCCAGGAGAAACCCUGCAUCGUUGCAUCGUUCCUGCAAAGUGGACAUAGCUGUCACCCGCUUUGAGGUUCCAGCCUACAGAGAUGGCCUGUGCAGGAUGGGCCGUUACGAAAAGGGUCCCUGGUGAGUAAGGAAAUGUCAAUUAGCCUUUCCAGAUUGCCCGCAGGGAGCUCAAUUUUAGAUUCCAGCAUCUUUUUCCUUUUUUUUUUUUUUUUUAAGACAGAGUGAGUCUUGCUUUGUUGCCCAUGCUACAGUGAAGUGUCACAAUCUUGGCUCACUGCAGCCAGGGUUUUGCCAUAUUGGCCGGGCUCGUCUCAAACUCCUGGGAUCAAGUGAUCUUCCGGCCUCAGCCUCAGGAAGUGCUGGGAUUACAGGCGUGAGCCCCCACGCCCAGCCCCAGCACUGGUUUUCAACGUGUCCCAGGAAUCAUCAGAGAACUCUUGUGUUGGAAAGCGAGACUGAGAAAUGGCUACCAAAAGCGCCCAGGGCUUGUGUUUGAAGGUGGAGAUGUUUUCAAUGUCUUUGCCUUUGAAUGCCCCCCACACCUUGGAACAAGGAGGGCAGGCUCUCUAAGAACAUUUGUUCUGGUAUUUGGUGAUUUGACAAGGAAAGGGGAAGAUACAUUUUAUUUAAAAUUUCCUUGAAAACAAGAUAAUGGGACAUAUCCUUAUGUCAU